CACGUAGGGGGCAAGCGUUGUCCGGAUUCAUUGGGCGUAAAGAGCUCGUAGGCGGUUCGAUAAGUCGGGUGUGAAACCUCCAGGCUCAACCUGGAGACGCCACCCGAUACUGUCGUGACUAGAGUCCAGUAGGGGAGCGUGGAAUUCCGCGUGUAGCAGUGAAAUGCGUAGAUAUGCGGAGGAACACCGAUGGCGAAGGCAAUCCCCUGGGCCUGCACUGACGCUCAUGCACGAAAGCGUGGGAGCAAACAGG
rnacentral:rRNA from 1 species